AUUGAACGCUGGCGGCAGGCCUAACACAUGCAAGUCGAGCGGAGCGGCGGACGGGUGAGUAAUGCCUAGGAAUCUGCCUGGUAGUGGGGGAUAACGUCCGGAAACGGGCGCUAAUAUCGCAUACUAUCAGAUGAGCCUAGGUCGGAUUAGCUAGUUGGUGGGGUAAAGGCCUACCAAGGGGACGAUCCGUACCGGGUCUGAGAGGAUGAUCAGUCAAACGGGAACAGAGACACGGUCCAGACGCCUACGGGAGGCAGCAGUGGGGAAUAUUGGAAAAUGGGCGAAAGCCUGAUCCAGCCAUGCAGCGUGGGUGAAGAAGGGCUUCGGAUUGUAAAGUACUUUAAGUUGGGAGGCGUUACCUACAGAAGAAGCACCGGCUAACUUCGUGCCAGCAGCCGCGGUAAUUC
rnacentral:rRNA from 1 species